GUAAGUUCCGACCUGCACGAAUGGUGUAACCAUGGCCACGCUGUCUCCACCCGAGACUCAGUGAAAUUGAAAUCGCGGUGAAGAUGCCGUGUACCCGCGGCUAGACGGAAAGACCCCGUGAACCUUUACUAUAGCUUCACAGUGAACUUUGAGCAUGUUUGUGUAGGAUAGCUGGGAGGCUUUGAAGUGGGAACGCCAGUUCUCAUGGAGCCAACCUUGAAAUACCAGCCUGACAUGUUUGAGGUUCUAACUUGGUCCCCUUAUCGGGGAUGAGGACACUGUGUGGUGGGUAGUUUGACUGGGGCGGUCUCCUCCCAAAGCGUAACGGAGGAGCACAAAGGUGGGCUAAGCAUGGUCGGACAUCAUGCGGUUAGUGUAAUGGCACAAGCCCGCUUAACUGCGAGACAGACACGUCGAGCAGGUACGAAAGUAGGUCAUAGUGAUCCGGUGGUUCUGUAUGGAAGGGCCAUCGCUCAACGGAUAAAAGGUACUCCGGGGAUAACAGGCUGAUACCGCCCAAGAGUUCACAUCGACGGCGGUGUUUGGCACCUCGAUGUCGGCUCAUCACAUCCUGGGGCUGAAGCCGGUCCCAAGGGUAUGGCUGUUCGCCAUUUAAAGUGGUACGCGAGCUGGGUUUAGAACGUCGUGAGACAGUUCGGUCCCUAUCUGCCGUGGGUGUAGGAUACUUGAGAGGAGUUGCCCCUAGUACGAGAGGACCGGGGUGAACGAUCCACUGGUGGACCUGUUGUCGUGCCAACGGCAGUGCAGGGUAGCUAUGAUCGGACAGGAUAACCGCUGAAGGCAUCUAAGCGGGAAGCCCCCCUCAAAACAAGGUAUCCCUGAGGACCGUGGUAGACCACCACGUCGAUAGGCCGGAGAUGUAAGCGCAGCAAUGCGUUCAGUUGACCGGUACUAAUUGUCCGAUAGGCUUGAU
rnacentral:rRNA from 1 species